rnacentral:rRNA from 1 species
UACAGAGGGUGCGAGCGUUAAUCGGAAUUACUGGGCGUAAAGCGUGCGCAGGCGGUUGUGCAAGACAGGUGUGAAAUCCCCGGGCUUAACCUGGGAACUGCACUUGUGACUGCACGGCUGGAGUACGGCAGAGGGGGAUGGAAUUCCGCGUGUAGCAGUGAAAUGCGUAGAUAUGCGGAGGAACACCGAUGGCGAAGGCAGUCCCCUGGGCCUGUACUGACGCUCAUGCACGAAAGCGUGGGGAGCAAACAGG